rnacentral:rRNA from 1 species
AGUGAACGCUGGCGGUAGGCCUAACACAUGCAAGUCGAACGGCAGCACAGUAAGAGCUUGCUCUUACGGGUGGCGAGUGGCGGACAGGUGAGGAAUACAUCGGAAUCUACUUUUUCGUGGGGGAUAACGUAGGGAAACUUACGCUAAUACCGCAUACGACCUACGGGUGAAAGCAGGGGAUCUUCGGACCUUGCGCGAUUGAAUGAGCCGAUGUCGGAUUAGCUAGUUGGCGGGGUAAAGGCCCACCAAGGCGACGAUCCGUAGCUGGUCUGAGAGGAUGAUCAGCCACACUGGAACUGAGACACGGUCCAGACUCCCACGGGAGGCAGCAGUGGGGAAUAUUGGACAAAGGGCGCAAGCCUGAUCCAGCCAUACCGCGUGGGUGAAGAAGGCCUUCGGGUUGUAAAGCCCUUUUGUUGGGAAAGAAAAGCAGCAGGUUAAUACCCCGCUGUUCUGACGGUACCCAAAGAAUAAGCACCGGCUAACUUCGUG